rnacentral:tRNA from 1 species
GGGACCUGGACCCGUGGUAAGCGUGGUUGCCUCUCAUCCAGUCGGCCUGGGUUCGAUCCCAGAAGGUCCCG